GAUGAAGAACGUAGCGAAAUGCGAUAAGUAAUGUGAAUUGCAGAAUUCAGUGAAUCAUCGAAUCUUUGAACGCACAUUGCGCCCGCCAGUAUUCUGGCGGGCAUGCCUGUUCGAGCGUCAUUUCAACCAUCAAGCCCCAGGCUUGUGUUGGGGACCUGCGGCUGCCGCAGGCCCUGAAAACCAGUGGCGGGCUCGCUGUCACACCGGGCGUAGUAGAUUUUAUCUCGCUCUGGGGGUGGUGCGGGGUGCGGCCGUUAAAAAACCCUUUUAACCCAAGGUUGACCUCGGAUCAGGUAGGAAUACCCGCUGAACUUAAGCAUAUCAAUAAGCGGAGGA
rnacentral:misc_RNA from 1 species